rnacentral:rRNA from 1 species
GACGAACGCUGGCGGCGCGCCUAACACAUGCAAGUCGAACGGAGCUGUUUUCUCUGAAGUUUUCGGAUGGAAGAGAGUUCAGCUUAGUGGCGAACGGGUGAGUAACACGUGAGCAACCUGCCUUUCAGUGGGGGACAACAUUUGGAAACGAAUGCUAAUACCGCAUAAGACCACAGUGUCGCAUGGCACAGGGGUCAAAGGAUUUAUCCGCUGAAAGAUGGGCUCGCGUCCGAUUAGCUAGAUGGUGAGGUAACGGCCCACCAUGGCGACGAUCGGUAGCCGGACUGAGAGGUUGAACGGCCACAUUGGGACUGAGACACGGCCCAGACUCCUACGGGAGGCAGCAGUGGGGAAUAUUGCACAAUGGGGGAAACCCUGAUGCAGCGACGCCGCGUGGAGGAAGAAGGUCUUCGGAUUGUAAACUCCUGUCCCAGGGGACGAUAAUGACGGUACCCUGGGAGGAAGCACCGGCUAACUACGUGCCAGCAGCCGCGGUAAAACGUAGGGUGCAAGCGUUGUCCGGAAUUACUGGGUGUAAAGGGAGCGCAGGCGGAUUGGCAAGUUGGGAGUGAAAUCUAUGGGCUCAACCCAUAAAUUGCUUUCAAAACUGUCAGUCUUGAGUGGUGUAGAGGUAGGCGGAAUUCCCGGUGUAGCGGUGGAAUGCGUAGAUAUCGGGAGGAACACCAGUGGCG